UGGUGAGGAUAGUGGUGGUGAGGGCGGAUGGCUGGUUGGAACGGGGUCGAAGUACCAUGGAAUGUGUACGGAUGGGUUGGACAGGUGGGUCAGGGGAGGUUUUGUCUUGCUGGGAGCUAGUUGUAGGGGAAGGCGUAGGAAGGGAAGGUGUUGAGGCAGACCGAGAAAAGGAGGAUGCAGCCGAUGAUGAGUUGGACAGACGAUGCAAAGGAGAAUGUGGAAUCGGUGGAGGAAUGGAUGGUAGUGGGGUGGCCUCUUGUAGAAGUUGAAGUAAUGUAAUGCCCCA
rnacentral:lncRNA from 1 species